UACGGGGGGGGCAAGCGUUGUUCGGAAUUACUGGGCGUAAAGGGCCAGUAGGCGGCCAACUAAGUCGGAUGUGAAAUCCCCAGGCUCAACUUGGGAACUGCAUCCGAUACUGGAUGGCUUGAAUUCGGGAGAGGGAUGCAGAAUUCCAGGUGUAGCGGUGAAAUGCGUAGAUAUCAGGAGGAACACCAAUGGCGAAGGCAGCUCGCUGGGACGUGACUGACGCUGAGACGCGAAAGCGUGGGGAGCAAACAGG
rnacentral:rRNA from 1 species